rnacentral:rRNA from 1 species
GUCCACGGCCACGCUACCGUGAUCUGAUCUUGGAAGCUAAGCAGGGCCUGGUUAGUACUUGGAUAAGAGACCACCUAGGAAGACCAGGUACUGUAGGCG